CAGAGUUUUCACAACUCCCAACCCUUGCGAACCGUACCCAUUCUGUUCUCGUUGCUUCCGGCGGGGGGGACGGGGGGGCCCGAAACGGCCUCCUCGCCCCGCCCGCCGGGGGCGGCGGGCCCUACGAACCUUUACAUCUCAACCACCAGAAACCGUCUGAGAAAACAAACAAAAUAAUCA
rnacentral:misc_RNA from 1 species